rnacentral:rRNA from 1 species
UACGAGGGGAGCAAGCGUUGUUCGGAUUUACUGGGCGUAAAGGGCGCGUAGGCGGCGUAACAAGUCACUUGUGAAAUCUCCGGGCUUAACUCGGAGCGGUCAAGUGAUACUGUUGUGCUAGAGUGCGGAAGGGGCUACUGGAAUUCUCGGUGUAGCGGUGAAAUGCGUAGAUAUCGAGAGGAACACCUGCGGCGAAGGCGGGUAGCUGGGCCGACACUGACGCUGAAGCGCGAAAGCUAGGGGAGCGAACGGG